AAAAAUCCCUAAAAAAUGGCGCAAACAAAAAACCUACUCAGCCUCUCUCUCUCUCUCUCUCUCUCUCUCUCAGGUACUCUACUCAUUCUUCCUUUCCCUCUCUCUCUCAGCUCUCUGCAAUCCGUAGCUUCUUCAAAAGAUUCGACAAUCUCGUGAAUCCAAUGGACCAAGAAGGAGAUCCAUGUGAAGCAAAAAAGAAGGCUUCUUUAGAGCCUAAAGCUCCAACCGCUGAUGACCCAGAUUUGGUCUCUCCAUCUGGUUCAGACCCUUGUCUGUCUGAAGAGGAACUGAUAACAACCACAGAGAGAGAGUCCAGAGGAACCAUCACUUUGUCUGAUGAAGAAAUCAUCGAGUCUAUCUAUCAGAGUCUCUUGCAAAUCAUUCUCUCGGUGCGACUGCAACAGGGCAGCGCUGAGGCUUGGUGUUUAGAUGAUUGCAAGACGCCUCUUUCGCGGGUUGCCAAAAUGGUUCCGGAUACUUGUCCCGGAGCUCCGGUGCAGCUCGCUAAGAAAUGGAGGAACAAUGGCUCUGGACGGGGCAGGAAGCUCCUCUUCUGAAUCUGACAUCAAUUUGAAUCUGACUGAUGAAUUGUUGUUGUUGUUGUUAGGUAUAAACUAAAAGAGAGCUUUUAGGGGUUUGUAGUAACUCUUGCUUUGACUUAUGUUUGUACAGUCUUUUAUGAGAGGACUUGCUAGCUAACUGAGCUUGUGGUUGGAGACAAUUCAGUUUCUGAUUUAUAAAGAAUAAACUUAAGUCUUGUCUU